rnacentral:tRNA from 1 species
GCUGCUAUAGUGUAGACCGGCCAAUCAUUCCGGCCUUUCACGCCGGAGACUGGGGUUCAAAUCCCCAUAGCAGCA